UGUGGGUAUUGUUGUGUGUUUGUUUUUUCUACACUAGCUAGAGGUAUAAGAGGAGGGUUGAGAUCUCAAAAAUCCUGUUUAACCAUGCCACAUUUCUUUGCCUGUCCCAAGUCAGGAGCCUCUGGCCUUUAUGUCUUGUAUGAUUUUUUUUCCCUGCAUAUUUAAGAGUUUAGUAUGACGUCCAUUAUCACUGAACUUGUAUAAAUAUUUGUUUAGG
rnacentral:lncRNA from 1 species